rnacentral:rRNA from 1 species
CCUACGGGUGGCAGCAGUGGGGAAUAUUGGGCAAUGGGCGCAAGCCUGACCCAGCAACGCCGCGUGAAGGAAGAAGGCUUUCGGGUUGUAAACUUCUUUUCUGAGGGACGAAGAAAGUGACGGUACCUCAGGAAUAAGCCACGGCUAACUACGUGCCAGCAGCCGCGGUAAUACGUAGGUGGCAAGCGUGAUCCGGAUUUAUGGGGUGUAAAGGGCGUGUAGGCGGGAAAGCAAGUCAGAUGUGAAAACUCAGGGCUCAACCCUGAGCCUGCAUUUGAAACUGUUUUUCUUGAGUGCUGGAGAGGCAAUCGGAAUUCGGGGUGUAGCGGUGAAAUGCGUAGAUAUACGGAAGAACACCGAUGGCGAAGGCAGAUUGCUGGACAGUAACUGACGCUGAGGCGCGAAAGCGUGGGGAGCAAACAGGAUUAGAUACCCGAGUAGUC